AACGAACGCUGGCGGCGUGCUUAACACAUGCAAGUCGAACGCGAAAGGGACUUCGGUCCUGACGUAAAGUGGCGCACGGGUGAGUAACGCGUAGAUAACCUGUCUUCAUGUCUGGAAUAAUACGCCGAAAGGGGUACUAAUACCGGAUAUUCUUGCUUUUCAUAAGUUAUGCAAGCAAAGGUGGCCUCUGCAUAUGCUACUGCAUGAAGAGGGGUCUGCGUACCAUUAGCUAGUAGGUGGGGUAAUGGCCUACCUAGGCGACGAUGGUUAGCGGGUCUGAGAGGAUGAUCCGCCACACUGGCACUGGAACACGGGCCAGACUCCUACGGGAGGCAGCAGUGAGGAAUAUUGCGCAAUGGGGGAAACCCUGACGCAGCGACGCCGCGUGAGUGAGGAAGGCCUUCGGGUCGUAAAGCUCUGUCAAGAGGAAAGAAGUGUACAAUGGCUAAUACCUGUUGUAUUUGACGGUACCUCUAAAGGAAGCACCGGCUAACUCCGUGCCAGCCGCCGC
rnacentral:rRNA from 1 species